rnacentral:tRNA from 1 species
GGCUCAGUAGCUCAGUUGGUUAGAGCACCGGCCUGUCACGCCGGGGGUCGUGGGUUCAAGUCCCCUCUGAGUCG